rnacentral:rRNA from 1 species
CCUACGGGUGGCAGCAGUAAGGAAUAUUGGUCAAUGGACGAAAGUCUGAACCAGCCAUGCCGCGUGGAGGAUGAAGGUCCUCUGGAUUGUAAACUUCUUUUAUAUGGGACGAAAAAAGGCUUUUCUAAGUCGUCUGACGGUACCAUAUGAAUAAGCACCGGCUAACUCCGUGCCAGCAGCCGCGGUAAUACGGAGGGUGCAAGCGUUACUGGGAUUCACUGGGUUUAAAGGGUGUUGAUGUGGGUUUGUAGAAAUCCCCGAGCUUAACUUGGGAACUGCCAUUGAUACUAUCAGUCUUGAGUACCGUGGAGGUCAGCGGAAUAUGUCAUGUAGCGGUGAAAUGCUUAGAUAUGACAUAGAACACCAAUUGCGAAGGCAGCUGGCUACCCGAAUAUUGACACUGAGGCACGAAAGCGUGGGGAUCAAACAGGAUUAGAUACCCCUGUAGUC